rnacentral:lncRNA from 1 species
AGAAGCAAUCAGGCCAACCCAAAAAUUUCAAAAUUGAAUUCAUCGAAAAGCUAAACCAAACAUGUACAUCAUUCACUUUAAGUCUCACCUUCAUGAAAGUCCGAAAUUCCCAAUCCUAAAUGAAAAUAAAAUCUAGUGCAAAAUACAACUAUUUUUCUAUUUAAAAGCCAAAAACGAAAAAUCAAAAUCGUCCUUUAUCACUAAACUUUCACCAACCAAUAACGCAAUUCAUCAUCUUCUUACAACCCUUAUGACUAUAUAUAUAUAUAUAUAUAUAUAUAUAUAUAUAU